rnacentral:rRNA from 1 species
UACGUAGGGGGCUAGCGUUGUCCGGAUUUAUUGGGCGUAAAGAGCGUGUAGGCGGCCAAGUAGGUCCGGUGUGAAAACUCGAGGCUCAACCUCGAGACGCCGAUGGAAACCAUCUGACUAGAGUCCGGAAGAGGAGAGUGGAAUUCCUGGUGUAGCGGUGAAAUGCGCAGAUAUCAGGAAGAACACCCGUGGCUAAGGCGGCUCUCUAGUACGUGACUGACGCUGAGACGCGAAAGCGUGGGGAGCGAACAGG